UACGUAGGGGGCAAGCGUUAUCCGGAUUUACUGGGUGUAAAGGGGGCGCAGGCGGUUUGGCAAGUCUGAAGUGAAAGCCCGUGGCUCAACUGCGGGACUGCUUUGGAAACUGUCAAACUAGAGUAUCGGAGAGGCAAGUGGAAUUCCUGGUGUAGCGGUGAAAUGCGUAGAUAUCAGGAGGAACACCGGUGGCGAAGGCGGCUUGCUGGACGAUAACUGACGCUGAGGCCCGAAAGCGUGGGGAGCAAAC
rnacentral:rRNA from 1 species